rnacentral:lncRNA from 1 species
GGCAAGUGGGAGGAAGUGUCACAGCUCUUUUAUUUCUGCCACCCACAGCUUGGUGAGUAGGAGCAUUACAGCUCUUUUGCUCCCACAGUUCAGCAAAUUCUGAGUUCCUGUCCCAUGACCAAGAGGAAUGAGGAACAUGGACACCGGAGAAUGAGUAAGGCAGAGUAGAAUUUUAUUCAUCAGCGAGAGGGGACCUGAAAGCAGGUCGCCAUCUGUGAGGAUUAAAGUUAGGACCAAAUGCUGCUCAGAAAUUGUUUUAAUCUCAAAAGUAGUUGGCAAGUUUUCAGAGUUCAUUUUCAAGGCCUGGUGUAUGUGAAACAACUGAACAUUCAGAGCUAUUUCAUUUUCAAAGAUUCUCACAUGUGAGUAUUCCUCUUUCUGAAUAUAAUCCCCUUUCUAUCUCUUUAAUUUUGUUCUUCCAUCAAAACUUCUCUUUCAACACAGGCUGAGAUUAAAGUUUAUUUCUUAUGGCUUCUGAGACAUCUCUCCCUAAGAGAGCAGAAAGGCCUAUUCAUGUUAAUAUGUCCAAAUCAAACCCACUACACAGAUGUACUCUCAAACCUACAUCUUUAUUUCCUAUCUCAGCUAAUGAGAUAACAAUCUCUCCCUCUCCCAAAGUAGAGACCUUGGAUCCAUCUUUAAUUAUUUCCUAACUCUAAUUAUUAAAUCCAAUCAUACACCAAAAAAUGAUGUUCUGAAUACUCUCUCUUUCAUUUGUGCACUCCUUCUUUGUCGUAUCUCUCCUGGACUAAAAUAAUAGUUUCUUGCAGGGUGUUGAAUAGUGUCCCCUAAAAAAUCAUGCCCACCUGGAACCUCAGAAUGUGACCUUAUUUGGAAAUCGGGUGUGCAGAUGAAAUUAGUUAGGGAUCUCAAAAUGAAGUCACUGUAUUAUUAUUGUAGAUGAUUAUGUACACUAAGUUCAAGGACUGACGUCCUUAUAAAAAGAGAGGGUACACACACAGCCAACAGAGAGAAGAAGGUCAUACGAAGACACGCAGAAUUUGGACUUAUGCGGUCACAAGUCAAGGAGUGCUUGGAGCUACCGGGAGAUGGAAGAGUCAAGGCAGGAUUUUCCCUGGAAGAUUUGGAAGGAACAUAUUUCUCCUGAAACCUUGAUUCUAGCCUUCACUAAUGACAGAGAAUAAAUUUCUGUUCUUUUAAGCCACUCAGUUUGUGGUACUUUGUCUUACAGAAACCCUGGGACACUAAUAAAUUUCCUAAGUGGUAUACAUAACAUCUUCUAACAUUAUGAUUCUAUGGAAUGCUUUGAUAAUCAGCUAAAAGUUAUCGGCUGUCUCCCAGGAAAGAUGCACAAACAUACAUAUUCAACAUUUUGUGUUCAAUUUUUCAAGUUUCCAGGAUUUCCAGGGCCUCUCUACAGAUCCUCUUCGUAUCUACACAGCUGAUUGUGAACUCUGUUCUUAUACAAUGUAUCCAAAGUAAAUUAACUACAAUACAACUGUGAUUAUGCCAUUCCAAAUUAUAAAUAUUAACAUCCUUUCUGAACUACAAGACCCUCUACAGUAUGACUGCAUUUGUACAUACUGCAGCUCUCCUGCUGAACCAUCCUUUGUUCUUAUCAUACCAAACACAUACGUUUCCAGGACACACUAUGCCUCUGUGCCUUUGCACAUGCUAUGCGCUGCCUGGGACUCCCUAACUUCCAUCUGCACAUAACCUUCUAAUGAAUUUCCAGGCAUUCUGGAAGUUUUAUAUCACUCAUUUUAUCUAUGAAUCAAAUGAUCUCACUGACAAAGUAUUAUGUUGCUUUUACAACAUGAUUCAAGUCCUUGACUGUGACGUAUUCCUGAAAUACAAGGUGCUUUAUUUUGAGUGUAAGAAAAUUUUAAUUAUAAUAUUAUAUUGUAAUAUGUGGUUUAAAUUUCUAUAUGCAUGCAUCAUAUUUCCAAUUUCUUACAGAAAAGAAUUAUUAUAAUUGUAUAAUAUAUAAUGUAUAACACUAAAUAUACUAUAGUAUUAAAACUAUAGGCUUUUAUUUCAAUUGGUGAAGAUUAAAAUCUUAGAAUCAUGAUCUGUGGGCAUUCUGACCUUGACUAAAUGCAUACACUUUAUGUAUCUAAGCUUUCUUCACUGUAAACUGGUAAAAAUGCACUUAAUUCAAAAAAUUGUGAGGAUCAAAGUAAAGUCUAAAACUUUAGUACGGCAUCAGGUAUGUAGUAAGAAUUAACUUUACAGUGGUUAUAUUUAGCAAAUCUUAUUAGUUUAUACAUUUAUAAGACUAUAGCAACAUGUCUUAGUUUAUAAGUAAUACCUCAAACCCUUUAUUUUCCUGGUAAUUUAUCCACUGAAGAAAGUGAGCUUUGUUGAUUGCAUACUCAUGGUUCAGUUCGAUGUGGUCAUUUUUCUCUUUACAUUCUGCUAAAUGGCUGCUGGAUUUAGAGAUUUUCAUCCCUUUGACAUGGUUAUAGAUGAUUAUAGAUAGUAUCUGGAAAGAUCUAUUAAAAAAUGCUAUCUGGUUGUCUAUCUUUUUGUGAUUUUAGUAGCCAUUAAUGCUACUACUUGUAUCUAUUAAUUCAUUGGCAGUUGCAAUAUGAAAGUAUUCUAAUGCUAUCACUUCUCUUUUUUAUUAUUAUCUGAGAUGUUGUUAUACAGAGACACAUUCCAGCAUCAAUUAUGUGGUAAUCCAGUGGUUGAUAUGGGAAGGCAGUGUGAAUGUUUAUUUUUUUAAAUGAAUCUAAA